rnacentral:rRNA from 1 species
AUUGAACGCUGGCGGCAGGCCUAACACAUGCAAGUCGAACGAGUGGCGGACGGGUGAGUAAUGUCUGGGACACUGCCUGAUGGAGGGGGAUAACUACUGGAAACUGUAGAUAAUACCGCAUACCAUCAGAUGUGCCCAGAGGGGAUUAGCUAGUAGGUGGGGUAACGGCUCACCUAGGCGACGAUCCCUAUCUGGUCUGAGAGGAUGACCAGCCACACUGGAACUUGGACACGGUCCAGACUCCUACGGGAGGCAGCAGUGGGGAAUAUUGCACAAUGGGCGCAAGCCGGAUGCAGCCAUGCCGCUUGUAUGAAGAAGGCCUUCGGGUUGUAAAGUACUUUCAGCGGGGAGGCGUUACCCGCAGAAGAAGCACCGGCGAACUCCGUGCCAGCAGCCGCGGUAAUUC